rnacentral:rRNA from 1 species
GACGUAGGGCGCGAGCGUUGUCCGGAAUUAUUGGGCGUAAAGAGCUCGUAGGCGGUUUGUCGCGUCUGCUGUGAAAACCCGAGGCUCAACCUCGGGCCUGCAGUGGGUACGGGCAAACUAGAGUGCGGUAGGGGAGAAUGGAAUUCCUGGUGUAGCGGUGGAAUGCGCAGAUAUCAGGAGGAACACCGAUGGCGAAGGCAGUUCUCUGGGCCGUAACUGACGCUGAGGAGCGAAAGCGUGGGGAGCGAACAGG